GACGAACGCUGGCGGCGUGCUUAACACAUGCAAGUCGAACGAAGUGGCGAACGGGUGAGUAACGCGUAAUCAACCUGCCCUUCAGAGGGGGACAACAGUUGGAAACGACUGCUAAUACCGCAUACUGAAGGAGGGGAUUGCGUGUAAUGAGCGAGUUGGAGGGGUAACGGCCCACCAAGGAGAUGAUCAGUAGCCGGGUUGAUAGGAAUGACCGCCCAAUUGGGACUGAGACACGGCCCAGACUCCUACGGGGGGCAACAGUGGGGAAUCUUCGGAAAAUGAGGAAAGGCUGACGGAGCAACGCCGCGUGAGUGAUGACGGCCUUCGGGUUGUAAAGCUCUGUUAGUCGGGACGCGGUACCGGAAUAGAAAGCCACGGCUAACUACGUGCCAGCCGCCGCGGUAAUUC
rnacentral:rRNA from 1 species